CAAUAGGCUUUUAUCACUUAUCGGAGGAAACACCGGAGAUACCGGGGACACCGAGUGCCAAAAAAAAAAAAGAAAGCUGUCCAGUGGUGUAAACUACACCUGAAAAAAAAAGCCGGGCAAGACCGGGGCCAGCCGCCGCGGUAACACCGGGGGCCCGAGGGGGGAUCGUCAUUAUGGGGCCUAAAGGGUCCGUAGCCGGUUGGGUCAGCCCUCCGGGAAUUCUGAGGGCUUAACCGUUAGGUUUUCGGGGGAUACUGCCAGGCUUGGAACCGGGGGAGGUAAGAGGAACUCCGGGGGUGGGAGGGAAACCUGGUAACCCCUGGGGGACCCCCUGGGGGAAAGGGGUUUUACCAAAACGGGUCCACCGGUGAGGGACGAAAGCUGGGGGCCCAAACCGGAUAAAAUACCCGGGUAGCCCCGGCCGAAAACGAUGUUCGCUAGGGGCCAGGCAUGGCGCGACCGUGUCUGGGGCCGCAGGAAACCCGUGAGGCGGGCCCCCUGGAAAGACCGGCCGCAGGGUUGAAACUAAAAGAAAUUGGGGGGGGAAAGGGCAAAUUCUUUUAACCCUCCGGGAUUAGUCCCUUUAGGGGGGGUAAUUCUGGGCUUGGCGAAAUCUGGCCAAGCUGUUCCCGGAA
rnacentral:rRNA from 1 species